GCCCGGAUGGCGGAACUGGUAGACGCAGUGGAUUUAGGUUCCACCGCCCUUGCGGCGUGCAGGUUCGAGUCCUGUUCCGGGCACCA
rnacentral:tRNA from 1 species